GCUUGAAGACCUGUUAAUUUAUAUUUUCUUAAAGAGAAGUUGCAAUCACUUUUAAAAUUUUAAAGUUAUUUUUUUCAUCCAGUUAAUUUUGCAAAAAAGAUUGAUAAAAAAAGUUAAGUUAUGAUAAAGUAUAUUAAUCACAUAGCAACAGCUGUUAUUGCAAGCACUGCUGCAUGUCUUGGUGGAUAUUUUAUUUACAAAAUACAUAACAAAAAGCAGUUGGUUAAAAAAAAAGUUCAUGAAAUAGUGCUCAUUUUUGAUCAUAAGGAAGUUUUUAUCAAAAACAUUGUUUUUUUCCGUGAGAAAAUAAAAAGAUUUGUUGAAGAUGGUGGACAUAAACUUCAGGUUUUGUCAGAUUUUGACCGAACAUUAAGUAAACAUUUUGUAGAGGGUGAAAAGGGAUUUACAAGCUUUGGUGUUGUUGAACACUCGCAAUACUUUCCAACAUAUGUUAAAAAACAGUUGUUAUCUCUGCAUGAAAAAUACCAUCCUAUUGAAAUGUCUACCACUAUCACAGAGGAAGCAAAAAUUCCUUAUAUGGUUGAAUGGUGGGCAGAAGCAUUUAUGCUUGCGGUGAAUGCUGGGGUUCAAAAACGUCAUAUUCCUGAUAUGGUUAGAAAUAGCAGAGUAGUUCUAAGAGAUGGAGCUGACCAAUUUUUUCACUUACUUCAUGAGAAAAAUAUUCCGCUACUUAUUGUUUCUGCAGGUCUUGGAGACAUAAUUAAUGAAGUGAUGCUCCAACAGGCGGAACUGACUAGAAACAUUUCAAUAACAGCUAAUUUUUAUACAUUUAAUAGUGAGGGUUUGGCUACUGGUUUGAGGGGUAACGAGAUGAUACACUCUUUUAACAAAAAUCAACAUUUAAAACAUAAAACAGAUUAUUUUGAGAAACAUAAGGAUCGUACUAAUUUAAUAGUAAUGGGAGAUACAUUGGGUGAUCCUUCAAUGGCUGACGGAAUUUUUCCCAGUGAGAACAUUUUAAAAAUUGGUUUCCUAAAUGAAAAGUGCCGAGUUCAAAAUAAGCACUGGACAUCAUAUAUUUUCCGACACAUGUAAUGUCGACACAUGUAAUUUGUCCGGCACAUUUAACUUUUCUGACACGUGUAAUUUGUCCGGCAAAAACGAUCAGCCAUAGGCCAUUUUUCAUGACCGAUAUUGAUUACGUGUGUACUCGUGUGGAUUAUAUUUUAAUAUUUAUUAUAUAUUUGUAUAUAUUACUUAUAACAUUAAUAAUGUAAACUUAUUCAACAAGUUUAGAUAAUAUUGAUAUUGUCUUUUCUUUUUAUUAAAAAUCAUUAAAUAACUUCGUUUGCAUGGUGUUUAAAACUUUGUCAUGAUUAAAUUCGGAUAUCUAUAGACUAAAAAAUGUGUCAUAGUUUAAGAAUAAAUAAGUUAAUGACUUUUGCAUGUUUAAACACGUUUUUAUGUGUUUAAUUAUCAUUAACAAAUCCAUAAGACAACCGGUAACAAAAUAUUUUUCUUUCACGCAUUUAAAAGUCACGUAAACGGCGUGUAUUUUUAUAAAACAAAUUGAAGCCAUCUAAUUAUUAAAUGAAAACCAUUAAAGUUUAAAACAAACAAUCUGCUCGAACAACCUGAGCUAAUCAAGCUAAGCAAAAUUAAAGCGCACAAAAAAUAUAUAUAAAAGGUAAAAUGGUAAUGAGUUUGCAAUCUUAUUCAGUUGCUAGGUAUCAGUGAUGCUAUGAAUUAAAAUUAAAAUAAAAGAAAUGAUUAUUUUUUGGUUUAUUGUAACUUUAUGAGACUUCAAUGGGUUGCAAAAUAAGGAGUUUUAUUUAGAAAAAUCCGUUAUUAUUUAUAUCUGGUUGUAAUUUCAGUAGCAAAAACGUAAUGAGCUCAAUUACGUAUAACAUUCUUUCUUAGGCUGAAGAAUCUUUGAAUGCGUACUUAGAAGUAUACGAUGUAGUCUUAACCAAUGAUGCGAAUCUAGAUAGACUAACUGUUUUUUUGCAUGCUUUAUUGUGCUAAUUUAGUUGGUAAUUUGUGGUAUGCGUCAACAAUGAGGGCAUUACGCAACGCAGUAGUUUAUUUAUAGUAUAGUUAAUUUUUUCAUCAAUACAGGCAUGUAAUUUUUUUUCUAAUGAUGUUUAUAGCCAUGCUUUUUAGUUAAUUUUUCUGUUACACUUGUAUUAUACUUUGUUGAAUUAUUUAUCCGGCAUAAAAAAAUAAGAGUAUAUACCCCUUAUUUUAGUUUGUAUAUAUAUAUAUAUAUUCAUUAUUUUAGUUAAGCAUUUCGUUUAAAUGUUUUUACUUCUACAUGAUUUUUUAUACAUAAUAUUUUAAUACAUGUAUUUUUACAUAGUUGAUAUGAAACGGUUUGUAAAGAAAUAUUUAUUAAUUGGAAUAAUUGUUUCGGGGUGUUA
rnacentral:misc_RNA from 1 species